AGUCCCUCAUAACACAUGCAGCUUCACCAUGGUGGACCUGCAUGUCUGCGCUGUCCUUCAGCAAGAACAGUGCUUUCUCCAAUGCCCGCCAAGGCAUCGGUGCAUGGCAUCACUAAUGAGAAGCUUGACAUUUUCUUGGAGGUACCAAGAGCAUUUCGGAUCAAACCCUUGCUGCCCAAAGAAGCAAGCACUGAGCUGCCAUUUAAAAGCUUCAUUCUUCUUUUGUGACCUACAGCCUCAAUGAGAGUUUUUACAGAAAUAGAGAGCCAUGGAACAACAAAUUUGGGAACCGUGUCAUUUGACAAAAAAUGUUUGGCUUAGAAUGUUAUUCUUUUUUAAUGUAUCUUUCAGCUGCUGUCAUUAAAAUUGUUAAAUAACAUUAGAAACGUGUUUUGUCAAUUACCUUGGGGACAAGUAUAAAAUAUUGGGCUGUUAAAUGCACGCCACAAAAAAAAAAAAAUAAAACUGCACAGAGCAAAUGCUGCA
rnacentral:lncRNA from 1 species